GACGUAGGGGGGCGAGCGUUGUCCGGAAUCAUUGGGCGUAAAGCGCGUGUAGGCGGCCCGGUAAGUCCGCUGUGAAAGUCCAGGGCUCAACCCUGGGAAUGCCCGGUGGAUACUGUCGGGCUCGAGUCCGGAAGAGGCGAGUGGAAUUCCUGGUGGUAGCGGUGAAAUGCGCAGAGUAUCAAGGAGGGAACACCAAUAGGCGA
rnacentral:rRNA from 1 species